rnacentral:rRNA from 1 species
GACGAACGCUGGCGGCGUGCUUAACACAUGCAAGUCGAACGAAGAGCGAUGGAAGCUUGCUUCUAUCAAUCUUAGUGGCGAACGGGUGAGUAACGCGUAAUCAACCUGCCCUUCAGAGGGGGACAACAGUUGGAAACGACUGCUAAUACCGCAUACGAUCCAAUCUCGGCAUCGGGACUGGAUGAAAGGUGGCCUCUAUUUAUAAGCUAUCACUGAAGGAGGGGAUUGCGUCUGAUUAGCUAGUUGGAGGGGUAACGGCCCACCAAGGCGAUGAUCGGUAGCCGGUCUGAGAGGAUGAACGGCCACAUUGGGACUGAGACACGGCCCAGACUCCUACGGGAGGCAGCAGUGGGGAAUCUUCCGCAAUGGACGAAAGUCUGACGGAGCAACGCCGCGUGAGGGAUGACGGCCUUCGGGUUGUAAAGCUCUGUUAAUCGGGACGAAUGGUUCUUGUGCGAAUAGUGCGAGGAUUUGACGGUACCGGAAUAGAAAGCCACGGCUAACUACGUG